GUAGAAUCUUGCAGUAAUGGUAGGCAUAGAUAUGGAACUGCAUUGUUUUGAGUGUCCUAUAGUUCUUAUAUUUUUCUUUUAGGAAUUAAAACUAUCUGUUGAAUGGAACUUGAAAGCCUGCAGGAAAGCUACUCUUCUACUUUAUCUCAUGUUAUGAGGAGAAGACUAUUGACUUGUUAUUUGUUACUUCUUUGUUGAAAUUGAACUUAUAGGAGCUCUGAACUGGCAAAAUAGGUGUAGGCUCUAGUAGCUUGUAUUUUGACUGUUCAGAUUGGCCAGAAUUGAAAAGUAGGAUUGCUACGGCAAUAUUUGUUCAAAUUGUUGAAGUUAGCAUGCAUGACUGUGCCUUUUGUGAUUUCUUUGGACAUUCUAUAGUAGCAGAUGCCUGGUAUACCUUUCCUCAUUUGCUGGAAAAAAAGAUAAUCUCCACAUCUGGAU
rnacentral:misc_RNA from 1 species